AUGGCAUAAGUACGACCUCAUGAUAAUGAAGACAAACCAAUUGUCAUGAAUAUCAAACAUACAAUCAACAACAUACCAGGUAAUAAUAGCAGUCUAUUUAUCAGGGAAAGUAUUGGGAGUCAAUCUCAGAGGAACUACAUAAGACAGACCCUAGGGCAAGUUCUGAUAAACAACUUGGGAUGAAGUACCAUCUGUUUUUUCUUUUUUUUGCCUGUGGUGUCCCUAGUUGUUAAUCAUAUAUAGAAAAUGUCUAUAUCAUCCACUACACCUACACCUGAGAGCAAUAAGUCACUUAAAUAUAAUUUCAAUGGGAGCUUCUCUCUGUCUG
rnacentral:lncRNA from 1 species